UACGUAGGUGGCAAGCGUUUGUCCGGAAUUAUUGGGCGUAAAGCGCGCGCAGGCGGCCUUUUAAGUCUGAUGUGAAAGCCCACGGCUCAACCGUGGAAGGUCAUUGGAAACUGAAAGGCUUGAGUACAGAAGAGGAAAGCGGAAUUCCACGUGUAGCGGUGAAAUGCGUAGAGAUGUGGAGGAACACCAGUGGCGAAGGCGGCUUUCUGGUCUGUAACUGACGCUGAUGCGCGAAAGCGUGGGUAGCAAACAGG
rnacentral:rRNA from 1 species